GGCCGGAGGACGUGGUGCGUCGGACCUGACGCCUCCCGGAAGGCCGCUCGCGAGGCGGGCUCUGCGUGCGAGCGGUCUCCGUCUCCGAGGGUCUCCGUGGGGCGCGGGGGUCCCCCGUCCGUAACCCCGCGAGGCCCCACGAGACCCAGGCCUGCGGGACCAGCGCAGCGCGGGCCGUGGAGCCAGGGCCGGGGCCGCACGCGGGGGUCGCAGGCGGGCCCUCCCAAACCGCCCCCCUUAGCGUCAGUAAGGUUUGUGUGGUGGCUUUACUUAUUUGCUCUGCUAUUUUUGCCUUUUCUGUCUCUUCGGGCUAAGAUCAAGCAGCAUGAGAGUAGGACCUGAUUUUGCUAACUCUUUCGUCCCCGCGCCCGUCCGAAGACCACCCGCACCUAACCAGCGAUCAAUGAAUACUUGUUGAAAGAACAAAUGAGCCGGGGAUGUAGCUCAGUGGCGCCGCCUGCCUCGCAAGCACAAGGUCCCGAGUUCGAUCCCCGCUACCAAAAACCAAAACCAAAAACCAAGAAAGAACAAAUGAAGUAAGGUGGAGGAAAAACGCGUGGCCUGUAACAAAGCCUCGCCGCCCUGCCUGACCCCGCCCUGGGCCAAGGCCUGAGAAGCAUCCAGAGAGGCUACUGAGUCGAACUAGAAGGUGACAGACCCCGGGACACAUAAAAAUAAGGGUUUUGGGGCUCUUCUCCACUUGAGACUGUUAACCUCUUCUUCUGGAAGUGUUGGCUGGAAUAUGCUGAUGUUAAGUAGGACUGCUGAUACACAGCUGCACAAUUUCAGUUGAUCUGAGAUCUUGGAUCGUAACUGACGUAUACUUUCUUACUCUGUUUCAUUUCUUGGGCUAACACUGAACCCUGGAGCCAGAGUUCAGGCCCCAGCACGCGGUGUGGGUGUCCUCGGUGGGUGGUCGACAUUUAGGACCUGCAGACCAGCUGGUUCCAGACCCAGGUGCCCCGUGACAACUCGUGAGCAUGGAGUGUCGCUGGCGGGUGAGAUCGCCACCUUCCCACAUGCUCCUUUGCCGUCUGAACAUCUCCUCUGCUGUGUUCCCUCGGCUCCAUCCAAACGCGGAAGCUGCAUGUUUCUUCCCGGCUGGCACUCUGGGUGUCGGGACAGAGCAGUGCUCAGAGCAGAUUGUCCCUGUUUGAAGCCAGCACCUCAUCCUCUGCACAGCCUUCAGAGAGCUGGACACUGGCAGAUCAUGGCUGCAAUGGUGAAGAUUCGAUGCCCUGAUGGUCCUCUGAUGCUGGGUCUGUGCACUGAGCCAGGGCCUGCAGGAAUCACAGCCAGCCCUGUGAAUCCAGCUGGGGCGUGUCAGGAAUCGGCCUCACCACUCACCAUCAUCACGGUCACCUGCCGUCUCCCUGCCGGCGUCCUGGGCCUGGAGGUGCUGUGGGAGGGCAGGACGAGGAGGGGCGCUGGCUGUCACCACGCCGUCCCUCAGGGUGGCUGAGAGGCGGGCCAUCAGUUGGAGGAAGUCAUUCCUGCUCGGCACACCGAGGAAGUCGAAAGCAUCCCACCGUGCUUAUGGUACAAAGGACACAACAGUGAGGGCGGCUUCGGUGGAGGAAAUGAGACAAAAAUUACCAGGUUUGCCUCAGACUCAUAGCAACCCUCCUGCCUCGGCUUCCCACGUGUCGGGUUGACAGCUGUGUGGACCACGCCCAGCUCUUCACUGGCUUUUGCCCUAAUGACCCAGCUCUGUGUCCUUGCCUGUAUGCCAAACACCACCUCUUGAAGCCAUUUAGGUCGAGCAGAGCAGAAAAGUGAUCCUGUGAGCCCUGCUGACCCCCAGCAGUAGCCAACCUUGACUUUUGAGCUCAAUUUGCCUUGAAUGUGAACUUGAUGGGCAGGGCUGAAGAUAUGAAGAGAGCAUCUGAUUGUAACUCGUUCAGCUGCUGGGAGUGGGUGACUUGCACUUCAGUAUUCCAGUACUGUUUUUAAAAGUCAGGUUAUCUGUUAAAUCAAUUUAGUGGGUGGGAAUCAACAUGAAAGAAAAGAAAGGAAGAAAGGAAGGAAGGAAGGCGGGAAGGCAGGAAGAAAGGAAGGAAAAGAGAGAAAGAAAGGGAAACUGGAGAGAGAAGGGGUGAGGGAAGAGCAGGAUCCCUUCCCUUCACCCCCUUUCUCUCUGCCAGGCCAGGUGCUGGGUGCCUUGCAGGGUACCACACAGCUGCACAGCACACUCACCUGGCUUCUCUGUCCCUGGCAAACCUGAGGUGGGAAGCUGACCACAGGGCAGUGUUCUGGAGCACAGUAGCUCAUCAGGCCUUGGUCUGCCCAGGGGCACUGCAGAGCCACCUUCCAGCAUGGGGACUUCCUGAGUGCUUCCUUCCUGAGGUGCCUGUCCAUGGGGCAUCGUUUACCUCUCCAGCAGUUUGGGGGGUCACACUCUCCCUCCAGGUGGCUUGCUGAGCACACCUAACUACCCUGCACCAAGCACUGAAAGUGUCGCUAAGUUGCUGGUUCUGCCUGCUUUCCCUGGCCCUGCUGGAGGAAAGGCUUGGCAAGCUCCACUCUGCAUGUUUGGGGAGCAUGAGGGAAUAGGGGGAGUGCUCUGUGGAGAUCAGUCCCAAGGAAAAGCUGAGGCAAGAGAUCCAUACCACAGUGCUCAGUCAAGAUGGAAUGCUCAUGCUCAGGAGGGAGGUUUCAUCUGGAGAAGUGGAGGUGAUUGGUUUUCCAGCACCUUGGGGAUCUAUAUGUGCCUGCCAGGCGGGCCUGGGUGGGCUGAGACAAUUCUCCUGUGUCUAGGUGAUGUUCCUGAUGGCCCAUGGGGCACACUCGACAAUCACAGAACAACGGUCAUUCCAGGGCCUGGAACUGAGGUCCAAUUGCGUUAGCUUCCUUCCACACUAGCUGUUUCUCCAAACAUCAGUGAUUUUUAACACCAACUACUUUGGAGACAUUUGCCAUGCAGUAGACGCAUCAUCAGAUCCUGAUAUCCAAGGGGCCCAACUAUUGCUGCUGCUAUAUUCCCUUUUCUUAGCCUGAUUUUAGGGGGAAAAGAAUCACAUGGAUGAUAAGAAAGGAGUUCACUAUGACAAAAUGCUAUGAGGCUAUUGAAAAUGAUACUCCAGAAAUCAAUCACAAAGCAGUGGGUAGCACAUCCUUCUUAUAAAAAUGCAUGGGGGCCAGGGAUUUAGCUCAGUGGUUCCGGUGCCUACCUCACAAGUUCAAGGACUCAAGUUCGAUCUCCGGUACCAAAAAAAAAAAAAAAAAAAAAGAAUAGCCAAGGUGUCUUAGUUAAUUUCUAGAUGCUGGGCCGAAAUAUCUGACACAAGAUAAAGGAGGAAAGUUUUUAGAGGUUUCAUCUGUAGUCAGCUAGCGCUAAGGUAGGGCAGCAUGGCAGAGGGGCAUCACAUAGAAGAAACAGCCCAUGGCAGAGUAGGCAGGAAGCAGUGAGCCUCCCUUUCCCUUCAUAUUCCAUCCAGCUUACAAGCCUAUUGGUUGGUGCCACCCAUACCCAAGGUGGGGCUUCCCUCCUCAGUAAAUCCAUCAUCCAUACCCAGAACCAGGCCAAGCCAAUCAGUGGACUAAUCCAGUAUCACAUCCAGCCACUCCCCAAAGCCUCACCUAUGAGCACAAGAGGCUUUGGGGGGACAUCUAGUUAUAAACCAUAACACUAGUGUUACAUAUAACAUGAUCUUGAAAGUGAUUUUAUCUUGGGUAGGACAAUGGAUUUAAACACUUCUUAUCUGUCUGUAUUUUCUUUUUUCUGUAGAUGUUCAUUCUUCAAAGUUUUAUUACAGAAAAUUUCACACAUACAGAUGAUCUGAAAGAAAUACACAGGAAACACUUGUAGCCUGUACUCUCAGAAUCAGCAAUUAGCAUUCGCUGUAUGCUUGUAGUUUUUCCUGAGCCACCUGCAGCUGAGCUGUAGCCAGCAAUUCACCCCCUCACCCAGUCCAAUCUCAAAGUCAUCAUCGCCCCCAAGAGGUGAAUUCCUGAUGGCGUCUCAUUCUGGAUUGAUUCUGGGAUAUGGGAAAGCAUAAAAGAACAAUAGUAACUUUGAAUAAAAGUGAACAUGCUAGACCACACUUAUGCAUCUUCUAGUCUUAGGAAGAGCAGGAAGUUACAGGUCUUGAUCCCUGGGCCCUGGUGCCUCCUGCAAAUCCACAGUGUGCAUGGGGGGCACUGUCUCCAUUCCCUCUGGUCUGAUCUGCAGCCAGACCUGAAGCAGGGGAGAAGGGAUGAACGGGGAGGACACAGGAAGCUCCUGGAGUUGGUCUAGGAUGAGCAGUCCUUUUCCAAAAUGCUUGGGACAGAAGGGUUUUGGAUUUCAAUUUUUUUUUUUCAGAUUUUGGGAUGGUUGCAUAGAUUUACAUCUAGAUGCUCCCUUAAAGACACAUGCACUCAUAGGCAGGACCUUUGGUGGGUGACUGGAUUAUAGGGGUGUCAGAGCUGAUUUGCUGUUGGGAAGUGGGGUUUGUCCGAAGAGGUGGUCACCAUGGGUGUGACCUGACAGGUGUAUCUCCCUUCCAUCUCCUCCCUUCAUCUCCUCAGACUCCUGCCCACCAGGCCCCACGAGUUCUGCCAUGGAGCCAGCAGACUACGGACUGAAGUGUGAGCCAAAAUAAGCCUUUCCUCUUCUAAAUUUCAGGUGUGGAGCAUUUUGUCCUAGUGAGUUAGAAAGUGACUAAGACAGACAUAGCAAGAGGUCCUGGGGACAGAGCCCACGUCCAAAUACAAAAUUUAUGCAUGUUUCAUGGAUGCCUCAUACACAUAGCUUCAGGUCACUUCACACAAUAUUUUUGGCGUGCCUAUGUCUUCUCUACAGCCCAUCACAUGAGGUCAGGGGCAGAAUUUUCCACUUGUGGCAGACAUCAUGUCAGGGUUCAAAAUGCUUGAAAUCGAGCAUUUGGGAUUUGGGGUUUUCAGAUUAGGGCUGUUCAGGAUGUGCAGGGUGAAGCAGUAAAAAUUCCAGAUCGGGGUGCAGUGGAAGGAGAAGGGGUGGAGUCCAGGGUCUGGGAAGGCACAGGUCGGGGCAGAGAGGAGUGUUUCCCCCUUCACAGAUGACCACCCCACACGGAACUCAGAACUCCUUCAAGGUCCCACCUGGCUGGUACUGCGAGGGACAGCUUUCCCCAAAGGCAGGGUCUGUUUCUCUUGCAUUCUGUCUCCCAAGUUGUUGAAAAUCCUGAGAUGGGCUUGAUUUGCUCAGGUUGUCACCGUGGAGCUAUGCGUGUGGUGAAUAAAUGAAGUUAUUUCACUGAGUCCAUUUCUUCAAACUGUAGUUAAAAAUUCAAUGGCUUUUGUAAAAUUUCAACUUUAAUCUGUAAUCUUCAUAUUCCUCUUAAAAUGGAAUUCUGCGGAAGUAGUAAUAGAAGGCACUCAAAUUUGGAAUCUUCAGCACAACAUGAAUAGAUGGCCCAGUCUCCACAUUGAUUUAAUGUGGUGGGGAGUUAUAAAGGUGUAAAUCGAAUAUCUCCAGAAGAGAUAACAAAUGUCAGGGAGUGAGCCAAUGCCGUGAUUGCUGAUGGCAGGAAGACUUUGCUGCUCAUCGAGUGGGAAGGGUCCCAUCUGAUACCUACAAUGUCAACAGCUUCCUAUAAUUGCAGGGAAUUUGAAGUGAAAAUUCAUUUUAUUUUUUUCCACUGUACGUCCCUCAUUUUGUCAUAGUUUAGACAUUUUUCCUCUCAAAAGCUAAGGACUAAUGCUCAUCAGAAUGCAAAUUUACAAAGAAUCUGAUGUAACCCUCGCCUUUGAUGUACAAAGAAAUUUGCUUAACUUUC